GAAUGAUCGGAAGGCUGUGUCAUUGAUUCAUCUUCAUUUAUUCCACAAUAUUAUGCAAAAUGUCUUGAAGGAGAAGACGGCUGCUGCUUUGUGGUUGGGACUAGAGCAGUUAUGUAUGACUAAGAGUCUUACUAGUAAAUUGACUCUUAAGCAGAAGCUGUAUUCUCAUUGCAUGGCGGAAAGAGGAUUGUAGGAAGAUCACAUUGUCGUGUCAAGGAAAUAGUUGUAGAUCUUGAGAUCUUGGAGGUUAAGUACGAUGAAGAGGAUCUUGCCUUGAUCCUGUUGUGUUUGCUGCCUGGAUCUUAUACGUCAUUUCAGGAUACUAUCUUGUAUAGUCGAGAUACUUUAACUAUAGAAGAUGUCUAUGAUGCUUUGCACUUAAAAGAGAAAAUAAAGCAUUUGGUUGGAGCUACAUCAAGGAAUGGGGAAGCUCUUGUAUCUCAAGAUGAUCGACGAAGAGGCAGAUCAAGAGUUAGAUUUAGCAAUGUAACCUGUUUAGAUUUAGCAAUGUAACAUGUUACUACUGCAAAAGGAAGGGACAUAUUUGGAAGGAUUGCAGUAUGUUGUAGGCUAAAGGUGAUUUAGCUACAAAUCGUGGGGUGGAACCUUUGAACUCAGACGAAACCAAUUUAGUUGAGAAUUGAGCAGAUAGCGAAAAGGUGAUGUUGACUAUGGUAUCUGAUGUGGAGUCUAGGCCUGACAAUGAGUGGAUUCUUGAUUCAGUAUGUUCGCACCAUAUGUGUUUCGAUAGGAAACAACCAAUCUUGUGGUAUUGAUGGGAUCGAUCGAGUCAGAUUGAGGUUGCGAGAUGGAACAUUUAGAACAAUUGAUCAUGUUAGACAUAUUUCUGACCUGAAAAGGGAUGUCAUUUUGCUAAGUACCCAAGAUGUAAAAGGGUAUAAAUUCUCUGGAGAAGAUGGAGUCUUAAAGGUCCGAAAGGGAGUCCGAGUUGUACUGGUGAGAUGAAAAAGAUCCCUAUUGUACAUUUUGUAGGGAAGUACAAAACUAGUUAAGAGGAGACAUUUGGACAAGUUUAGUACUGUGGUGGAAGUUCAGUUUGGUACACUACCUCUUGUGUUGGGCUCUUAAUCGAUUCAGAACACUGCUAAGGAGAGCGUUGGUGAUCCUAUUUUGCCACCAAUUUUCAGCGGGUACACUUUUGUUCAUUUGCUAGGGUAGGACUCAUCAAGCGUAGGUACUGUGGGGUCAACAAUGUUUGGGAUGCUUCUAGGGACGUUUAAGGCAACAAUUCCAGCAAGGGGCCUUUUGAUCAAGCAUUU
rnacentral:lncRNA from 1 species